rnacentral:rRNA from 1 species
GCUAUAAUGCAGUCGAGGGGCAGCACGGGUAGCAAUAUCUGGUGGCGACCGGCGCACGGGUGCGUAACACGUAUGUAACCUACCUUAAACUGGGGAAUAGCCCCUUGAAAAAGGGAUUAAUACCCCAUAACACUGCGAUAAGGCAUCUUAUUGCAGUUAAAGUUCCGACGGUUUAAGAUGGACAUGCGCGACAUUAGCUAGUUGGUGAGGUAACGGCUCACCAAGGCUGUGAUGUCUAGGGGUUCUGAGAGGAAAAUCCCCCACACUGGUACUGAGACACGGACCAGACUCCUACGGGAGGCAGCAGUAAGGAAUAUUGGUCAAUGGGCGCAAGCCUGAACCAGCCAUGCCGCGUGCAGGAUGACGGCCCUAUGGGUUGUAAACUGCUUUUGUACGGGAAAAAACCCCUUUACGUGUAAAGGGCUGAUGGUACCGUAAGAAUAAGGAUCGGCUAACUCCGUGCCAGCAGCCGCGGUAAUACGGAGGAUCCAAGCGUUAUCCGGAUUUAUUGGGUUUAAAGGGUGCGCAGGCGGAAUAAUAAGUCAGUGGUGAAAUCCUGCAGCUUAACUGCAGAACUGCCAUUGAUACUGUUAUUCUUGAGUAUAGUUGAAGUGGGCGGAAUGUGUCAUGUAGCGGUGAAAUGCUUAGAUAUGACACAGAACACCAAUUGCGAGGGCAGCUCACUAAGCUAUAACUGACGCUCAUGCACGAAAGCGUGGGGAUCAAACAGGAUUAGAUACCCUGGUAGUCCACGCCGUAAACGAUGAUUACUCGAUGUUGGCGAUACACAGUCAGCGUCUAAGCGAAAGCAAUAAGUAAU